GGCCGGGGGCGGGCGGGGAGGUCAUGGCGGCUCUGGGUGCGCGCUGUUGCCCCGUGACUCACCGCCCGUGUCCAUCCGUGCCGCGCAGAGCGCGGCCCGGGCACAGCGCAGCCUCGGCAGCGGCGGCGCGGUACCGCACACGCCCGAGUGGCUGGUGGGAGCGUUGGACUCCUUGCCCGCCUCACUCCCUGCCUGUUGCUGCCCGGCCUGGCGUGGCCUAGUUCGCUCCGCUCCGCGCGGUGACUCCAUGUUGUACCGAGGAGCCGCGCUCAGCCCCGCUCCUCUGUCCCGCACAGACUCCCCGCGCCGAGCCGGGCAGCCCAAGGCCUCCAGGGGGAAAGCCCGCGCGCCCCAGCGGGACCUGCCCGGGACUUGCCGCCUCCCCGUCCCCCAGUAGCCUUCUCCAGCUGCGGGACUCCCUCAACCUCCGUCCCGCUCCCCGCACCGCCUUGCCCGGACACCGCUAGGCGCCGGUGCCGCACUCGACACAGCCCGCGGUGCGGGUCGCGGCUGCAGCGGCCUUGGAGGUCGGCAUGGGGCCGAGGGGAGCGGGCAGCGGCCGCAUCCCGCCCUCAGCCGGCCCUCAGGCGCCGCCGCCAUCUUGGCGGGGCGCGGGCGCCGCCGCGGCGCAGGAAAUGGAGGACGCGGGGCCGGGAGGCGCCCGGGGCUCCCUCAGCGCUGAGGGCUCCACCGCCGCGCGGGGCUUCCACGCGCCACGGCCCAGAGACUGCAGCGGGAAAAGUUCUUCCAGUUGCUGAACAGGAUUUGCUCUGUAUGCGUACGCGAAGCUCAGAAGCAAUGUUACCGGUACAAGAAACCCCCACCGAGCCCCCGGGCUGAGGAAUGAGAUGUGUGAGAGACACUUUGGAUUGACCUUUCCUCAAGCUGUAAAUCUAAUAUUAUAGCACUGUUAAGUUUCUUUAAUUAGACUAUGAGUAACAACGCGUGUCUUUUCCUCGCUGUUAAGUGCAGCUCAUUUAAGAUGGACUUGGGUUUGUUUGUGUUUUGAGUGCUGUGUUUGCGUGUCUGUGUGGCGUGGUUUAUUACAUGCUGUAUUUUCUACAGAACCAAACCCAUCCCGAGCUGUGAAAAGGGGAUGAACCUCUCAGUAAUGAUGAGUUCAAAAAAAGCCAACGGGCUUUGAACUCAGAACAACAUUUUCCCCAGUAACAGCAUUUCUUCUCAUUAAUUAUUUUGUAAAUCUUUACUGUCAUAGUCCUAAUCCAGCAUAAUUUUCAUGGCCUUUGGUUGCCUUGGAUACAUUACAGUCCUGUUCACAAGUAGUCCCACUUUUCGUUUCAAUCAAUUACUGCUCUUUUCAGGUGAUAAAGAGAAGAAAAAUAGUGUGUGGAGCUAAGGAAGUGCUCAGAGCUUAUAAAUCAUCAUUUUUUUUACUGCAUGAAAAAAACCAAGCAACAGAUCAAUGUCACUCACAAAGGCUGCAGAAACAAAAUCAUAUAUCAUCUUCUUUUUCAUCAAAUCUUUACUUUUUCUGAAGUAAUAAAACCUGGCUUCUCUCUGAGUCUUUGUAAUAGGACUCAGGAAUUUCAGACUGACAAACCUCUUGUAAUAAAACUUUUCUAACUUC